AUUGAACGCUGGCGGCAUGCCUUACACAUGCAAGUCGAACGGUAACGGGCCUUCGGGUGCCGACGAGUGGCGAACGGGUGAGUAAUACAUCGGAACGUGCCCGAUCGUGGGGGAUAACGAGGCGAAAGCUUUGCUAAUACCGCAUACGAUCUACGGAUGAAAGCAGGGGACCGCAAGGCCUUGCGCGGACGGAGCGGCCGAUGGCAGAUUAGGUAGUUGGUGGGAUAAAAGCUUACCAAGCCGACGAUCUGUAGCUGGUCUGAGAGGAUGAUCAGCCACACUGGGACUGAGACACGGCCCAGACUCCUACGGGAGGCAGCAGUGGGGAAUUUUGGACAAUGGGCGCAAGCCUGAUCCAGCCAUGCCGCGUGCAGGACGAAGGCCUUCGGGUUGUAAACUGCUUUUGUACGGAACGAAAAGCCUUCUUUUAAUACAGGAGGGUCAUGACGGUACCGUAAGAAUAAGCACCGGCUAACUACGUG
rnacentral:rRNA from 1 species